ACGGGAGGCAGCAGUGAGGAAUAUUGGUCAAUGGGCGAGAGCCUGAACCAGCCAAGUAGCGUGAGGGAAGACGGCCCUACGGGUUGUAAACCUCUUUUGCGCGGGAAUAAAAAAUGCCACGCGUGGCAUCUUGCAUGUACCGCAGCGAAUAAGGACCGGCUAAUUCCGUGCCAGCAGCCGCGGUAAUACGGAAGGUCCGAGCGUUAUCCGGAUUUAUUGGGUUUAAAGGGAGCGCAGGCGGAGUGAUAAGCCAGCCGUAAAAUAGUCGGGCUCAACCCGAUCCCGCGGUUGGAACUGUCGCCCUUGAGUGCGGGAGAGGAAGGCGGAACUCGUGGUGUAGCGGUGAAAUGCAUAGAUAUCACGAAGAACUCCGAUCGCGAAGGCAGCUUUCCGGCCCGUAACUGACGCUGAGGCUCGAAGGCGCGGGUAUCAAACAGGAUUAGAUACCCUGGUA
rnacentral:rRNA from 1 species